GAUGAACGCUAGCGGCAGGCCUAACACAUGCAAGUCGAGGGGUAGAGGAAGCUUGCUUCCUUGAGACCGGCGCACGGGUGCGUAACGCGUAUGCAAUCUACCUUUUACAGAGGGAUAGCCCAGAGAAAUUUGGAUUAAUACCUCAUAGUAUAUAUCAUUCGCCUGUUUGAUAUAUUAAAGUUCCAACGGUAAAAGAUGAGCAUGCGUCCCAUUAGUUAGUUGGUAAGGUAACGGCUUACCAAGACGAUGAUGGGUAGGGGUCCUGAGAGGGAGAUCCCCCACACUGGUACUGAGACACGGACCAGACUCCUACGGGAGGCAGCAGUGAGGAAUAUUGGUCAAUGGACGCAAGUCUGAACCAGCCAUGCCGCGUGCAGGAAGACGGUCCUAUGGAUUGUAAACUGCUUUUGUACGGGAAGAAACACUCCUACGUGUAGGAGCCUGACGGUACCGUAAGAAUAAGGAUCGGCUAACUCCGUGCCAGCCGCCGCAGUAACAC
rnacentral:rRNA from 1 species